UACGGAGGGUGCAAGCGUUACCCGGAUUCACUGGGUUUAAAGGGUGCGUAGGUGGGUUUGUAAGUCAGUGGUGAAAUCUCCAGGCUUAACCUGGAAACUGCCAUUGAUACUAUAGAUCUUGAAUUUUCUGGAGGUAAGCGGAAUAUGUCAUGUAGCGGUGAAAUGCUUAGAUAUGACAUAGAACACCAAUUGCGAAGGCAGCUUGCUACAGGAAUAUUGACACUGAGGCACGAAAGCGUGGGGAUCAAACAGG
rnacentral:rRNA from 1 species